GGCAGGGUCAGAAACAAAACAGGGCGCAAACAAAAAGAACGGGAGAGAAAACGGGUGAUGCAUGGAUUUAAUCAGCUCCACUCCUACGAAUCGUAAAGGAACCGCUUCCUGACACAGUCCAGUCUGGUAUCUUCUCUACCCCAAGAUCAACUACUCCAACUUGUAAAGGAAUCACAUUCUGGAACUGACACAUUCCAGGCUGAGUUGGGUUGGUCCCUGGAGCAACUGGGGGUUAAGGGCCCUGCUCAAGGGCCCGACAGUGACAUUAGGAUGCCAAACGAAGGAUUUGAACCUGUAACCUUCCGAUCACAAGCACAACAUCCCGACCCACUGAGACAGAAAUGGACUAAAGGCCAGCUGGAGAGACACUUCUGACCAGCCGAUCACCAGGAAGCGGAACCUGCUUGUCCGGAGGGGUGGCGGGUUUGGGCCAGAAGAAUUACCUCCAUCUCUCUCUUAUUGUGGACACCAAAGUGAAGGAAGUCCCAGAGAAGGGUAUGCAAAAGCUUCCUGCUAUUUAUGUUUUUAUAGCUUUUGCAAAGCUAUGCCACAAAAGUGUCAAAUGCACAAAAGACCGCGGAAAAAUUAUCUACUAUAAUAAUUAGUUCUCAUCGGAUGCAAGAUGGUUAGCUGCUAAAGCAGGAAUUUAGCCAGGAUUCUUCUCAUUGCAAUGAGCUAAUUAUUAAAAGUGCUAUAAUCAGGAACGGAAGUUGGUAAAUCCAACUUUUGACUCAUUAACAACAGCAUGCAUUGCUCAAGACUUCAUAUUCUAUGUAUCGUUACAAGGUGAGAAUGUCUAAUUUAUGCAUAUGAAUUGUACAAGAAAGUCAUACAAAAGCGUAUGCCUGAAAAAUUUGCUUAUUGAGAACUCAUUAAAGCGGGUGCCUCUUCUGUGUGAAGAAGCCUGGGGAUAUUUCACGUCCCUCCCAUAUGAAAUCCUCUUUGCGAUGUAUCCAUGCUGACUAACAAUAAAAAAAUGCCAAAAUACCAGUUCUUUGUUUUCUCAAGCAAAGUGAGAAAAGCAUAGUAAACAAAACUGCACCGCAUCAAAUCACAUGACACAAACAUAAGGAGUAAAACACCAUCACUUAUUAAUCGUACACCACUAUUACAAAUUUUCCUGCUAAGAUUACUUACAUAGUA